rnacentral:lncRNA from 1 species
ACCCGACCAGCAGCGAUCGGUUAUAUCUAAAUGAACCGGGAGCUCAGGCUGGAAGUGUCCUUGCCAUUGCCAUUGUGUUAGCUGGUCUAGCUGUUUUAACCUGCUGGCUGUGGAAAAGGAAAUCCCCUCACCAGAAAUCAUAUGCAGAUGUUCAACAAAAUGAAGAUGGAGCACAUCACAAUACACCCGUUUAAAUGGGAAAUUCUCAGAGAAUUUGGGCAGCUGGUGAUAUACCAAGAGAAUGCUGAAGCUAUGGAUGCUAUGUUGAAGCCAAGG